rnacentral:tmRNA from 1 species
CCCCUUCAAAUCCAGGCCCUUGUGGUCUAUAUCCAUAGAUGCCGGCGACGGUCGGCUAUGGCGAUAAACGGCUCGUCGAAUAGGUUACGCGGACCCGGGGGCAGUGCCCGGCGCCUCCACCACCAGCGUUUGGACCGCCGGCAACGGCGCGGGCGAACGAUGCUGAUGGGGGCGAACCAGGAUCGACGCGGACUGAAGGACGUGACCCUUCGCCCGGGAUGGUACCGCCGUUAUCGGGCCAUAUAGCAAGUGCGAACGACAAUGACGUCGAGGUCGCUAUUGCCGCGUAAGCGGUAAGAGUGAUCGCACUCUUCAAUUCCUAGCCCCUCGACAGGGUUAGGUGGGGUCCGGGGGCACCUAGCAACAGAAGCCCCCAUC